rnacentral:rRNA from 1 species
GGUUAAGUUAAUAAGGGCGCACGGUGGAUGCCUUGGCACUAGGAGCCGAAGAAGGACGGCACUAACACCGAUAUGCCUCGGGGAGCUGUAAGUGAGCUGUGAUCCGGGGAUUUCCGAAUGGGGAAACCCACUGUUCGUAAUGGAGCAGUAUCCAUGUGUGAAUACAUAGCACAUGAGAAGGCAGACUCAGGGAACUGAAACAUCUAAGUACCUGAAGGAAGAGAAAGCAAAUGCGAUUCCCCAAGUAGCGGCGAGCGAAACGGGAUCAGCCCAAACCAGAAGGCUUGCCUUCUGGGGUUGUAGGACACUCUAUACGGAGUUACAAAGGAACGGAUUAAGCGAAGCGACCUGGAACGGUCCGCAAGAUAGGGUAAUAGCCCCGUAGCUGAAAGUUCGUUCCCUCCAGAGUGGAUCCUGAGUACGGCGGAACACGAGAAAUUCCGUCGGAAUCCGGGAGGACCAUCUCCCAAGGCUAAAUACUCCCUAGUGACCGAUAGUGAACCAGUACCGUGAGGGAAAGGUGAAAAGCACCCCGGAAGGGGAGUGAAAUAGAUCCUGAAACCGUGUGCCUACAAGUAGUUAGAGCCCGUUAAUGGGUGAUAGCGUGCCUUUUGUAGAAUGAACCGGCGAGUUACGAUUGCAUGCAAGGUUAAGGUGAGAAGCCGGAGCCGCAGCGAAAGCGAGUCUGAAUAGGGCGAGUGAGUAUGUAGUUGUAGACCCGAAACCAGGUGAUCUACCCAUGUCCAGGGUGAAGGUAAGGUAACACU